rnacentral:lncRNA from 1 species
GGGGUGGAAACAGGUUAAAGAAGGAUUGUUAAGCCUUGAGACAUGGAUUGUGUAUGUGUAUGCCAUUCAGAGGUUGAAUGGGCAAGACAAAAUAUUUCAGUGUCGUUGAACGGGGUAUGGUAGUAGGUGCCAGGCACACUGGGUUGAGUCACUGGCAUCAACAUGGGCCAGCAUCCCUUGUGGAACGCUUUCGACACAUUGUUGAGUCCAUGCCCCCGACGAAUUGAGGCUGUUCUAAGGGCAAAAGGGGGUGAAACUAAAUAUUAGGAAAGGUGUUCCUAAUGUUUGGUACACUCCGUGUAUGUAGACACAAACAUUGAGGAGUUGCUCCAGUACAUAACUGGUAAUAAAUAUUUAAUGCGGUUCAGAAGAAGUUCCUUACACCAAGAUCUUAGAACAAGGUGAGUGUUAGUAGCCAUUGGUCGAGCUCAGAGGGGACAAACUCAUCCAAUAACAUUGUCCCAAUGGCCCCUCGUCCAAACAUGGCGUAUCCUCAAGUUCCAUACUGAUCUGAUACCCGGUACAUACAAUUAAUUCCAGCAUGCACCAGUUGACUGUAUAGAUACGUUGGUAUUGACAGUAGGUUUGGAAAAAGAGAAAAACAACUUGUUACCAUGAUUAUGGUAUUUAAAGUCUAAUAAAUUAUUGAAAAUGUUGAGGACAAAAAGGUCACACGUCUUAUAUCAUCUGGGCAAAUAAAAUCAGAGAGGAAUGUCAGAAUCCAGCUGACAACUCUCACGAUGCAUUUCCCUAUCGCUUCAACUCACACAUUCUCAAAGUUUCCCUUUCGACAUCCUUUUGGUCAGACAAGCAAGCAGCGUGACAUAUCCUAUGGCAUAAUCAGCAAAGUGUACCCACAUCAGUCCCAUUUUUGAUUGAAACAAAAAUAUCAACAUGAAUAUUUAGAACCAAAAUCCUUCUAAAUCGAACCCGGCUGGACAAAUGUAAGGAAUCCAUUUAUACAUUUCUUCUUUAACUUUCCCCCUUUACCAACUUUAACUUUCACCAGAGUGUGAGUGGCCCAUAGGAGGCCUCACUCUAUUUGAGCCAGGGGUCGGUCUGUCUGUCUUCUUUGAGCCAGGGGUCGGUCGGUCUGUCUGUCUUCUUUGAGCCAGGGGUCGGUCUGUCUUCUUUGAGCCAGGGGUCGGUCUGUCUGUCUGUCUUCUUUGAGCCAGGGGUCGGUCUGUCUGUCUGUCUGUAUUCUUUGAGCCAGGGGUCUGUCUGUCUUCUUUGAGCCAGGGGUCUGUCUGUAUUCUUUGAGCCAGGGGUCUGUCUGUCUGUCUGUCUUCUUUGAGCCAGGGGUCUGUCUGUCUUCUUUGAGCCAGGGGUCUCUGGGUCUGUCUGUAUUCUUUGAGCCAGGGGUCUGUCUGUAUUCUUUGAGCCAGGGGUCUGUCUGUCUGUCUGUAUUCUUUGAGCCAGGGGUCGGUCGGUCUGUCUUCUUUGAGCCAGGGGUCUGUCUGUAUUCUUUGAGCCAGGGGUCUGUCUGUCUGUCUGUCUGUCUGUCUGUCUGUAUUCUUUGAGCCAGGGGUCUGUCUGUCUUCUUUGAGCCAGGGGUGUGUCUGUCUUUGAGCCAGGGGUCUGUCUGUCUUUGAGCCAGGGGUCUGUCUGUCU